UGAGGUGUGGGCUGGGUGGAGGAAACAAAGUGGGGACGAACAGGGGACAUCUGUAAUACUGUCAGCAAUUAAAAAAAUACAUUUUUACAAAAAUAUAUAUGAACUGGGGUUCUACCUAGGUACCUGAAAUAUUUGGGGGAGAAUUAGAUAGCCUAUAUAAAGCACUUAGCAUAGUAUUCACAACCUAGAAGGCACUCAAUAAACGGCAAAUGCAAAAUGUCUGACUGUUAAUAUAGAAUACUUUAUUCUCACUUACGCAGGCGAACUAUCUCUUGUGUUAUGCUUUUUGCUCUGUUUUAAAUCCUUGAGGCACAUUUCUUUCAUUCGUAGUUCCUUUGAGACAGACAAGCAUUUAUUUCACACUUGCACAUAUUUUGAACAUGCUUCUGUAUCAAACAAACAUCUGUUAUUUUUUUUUUUUUGACGAGAGUGUUUAUCGUUUUAUUUAUAUUUGAGACUAACUGUCUAAUCCUAAGAUUGUGUUGGGGAGGAGUCUCUAAGCCCACCCCCAGGCGUAUAGUCACACUAUGAUUUACAAUAUUAUAGCGGACGGGUAAAAAGCAAAAUCAGCAAAGGGCAGAGAGCACAUGGGGCAAGGUCCAGGAGAAACCGGGCACCGGCUUCCAAGAGGCCUCACCUGGGACGUACUGUAUUCUCCCAGGAAUACGCUAGGACAGCCCGUGUGAAAUGCUAGCUACCGAGGAAGGUCACGGAAAGCGAGCCUCGGCAUUUUGUUGGGGGCCAGUCACCUCCUCACAUUUCAGACUCUCCGAAGGAAAGCAAGCAGGCCUUGUAGAGGCUAGCAGCGAGGCCCACCGGAUUGACUCUUUCCUACACGGAAAUAAAGUGAACGAAUGAUUUAAGAGACUAAAAUUAGCUUGGGGCUUUUUAUUUCAAUAGCUUUAUGGAGACCUAAUUCACAUACCAUAUAAUUUAUGCACUUAGAGUAUUCAAUUCAAUGAUUUUUACUACAUUCACAACAUUGACUACAUUAGCAUUGUGAGAAAUCAUCUUAGGGUAUGAUUAUUUUUUUAAUAAGAAGUAUCAUAUCAUGGCCUUGGGAAAGGCAUAAUUAAUACUUUAUGAUAAUAGGGAGUGUCUUAAGAGUAGAUACAGAACACUGGCUGGUUUGGCUCGGUGGAUAGAGCGUCGGCCUGCCGACUGAAAAGCCCCAGGUUCUAUUCCUGUCAAGGUCACAUGACCGGGUUGCAGGCUCGAUCCCCAGUAGGGGGCGUCCAGGAGGCGGUGGAUCAAUGAUUCUCUCUCAUCAUUGAUCUUUCUAUCUCUCUCUCCUUCCUCUCUAAAAAAAAAAAAAUGUUGUGGUUUUUUUUUUUGUUUUUUUUAAAGAGUAGAUAUAGAAUUUCCUAGAAGAGUAUAAAGAAUGUAUUUAAAUUAAAAUAUUGCCUGGAGUGUCAGCAAUUUGAGAGCAAUAUAAUUAUGGCUAUUUUGAGAGACAGUCUAGCCCAGUGAUUAAGAGUGCAGACAUUGGUGACCUGGCUUCUGUUCCCAGCUUCACCUCCCAAUAGCUUUGUGAUCUUGGGCAAAUUGCUUAAGCUGUUUCAUUAUCUACUCAGUGGAGCCCUUUAGAUCUUGUGAGGACUGAAUGAGUUAACAUGUGUAAAGUACUUAGAAUGGUUCCUAACAUCCUCCUAUAUAAUAAAAGGCUGAUAUGCAAAUUGUGCCCUCAAUUGGGAUUUCGACAGGGAUAGGGCCGACUGGCCAACUGCCCACAGCCCCUCCCCUUGGGCCCCCUCACCCCGAUCAGGGGCAGGCUGGACGGAAAUCCACCCUGCACUAAUUCGUGUACCGGGCCUCUAGUGUAUUAAUAAAUGCACAAUAACUGUCCGUUAUUAAGAGAGGCUUUAUAGCACAUCAUGGUAGUAGCAGCAUAGACUUGGAGGACAUUAACAUUCUGUUCACAUUCUGUUUCUGCCGCUUACUAGUUGUGUAACCUCCGACUUGAACGUUAACCUCUCUGUGACUCAUUUUUCUUAUCUACAAAAUGUGGAUAAAGGUGUAUCUAUAGUUCCUGGCACAGUCCAAGAGCUAUAAAAAGUGUUGGUUACUUAUUGAACCUGAGAAGAUACAUCUCAGAACGUUAUGAAUCUAAUAUAUGAAUUCAAAAAAGAUCUGUCAGGAAUAUUUUUUUCUAUAAAAUAAAUCUUAGUUAAUAUUUCAUUAUAAUAUAAAUAUAGAAUGAAAUCCAGUAUAUGGAAGUGAGCAAAAUGGGUGAAGGGGUUCAAAAGAUGCAUAUUUCCAGGUAUAAAAUAAUAGGUCAUAGGGGUGUAAUGUACUAUAGUGACUAUAGUUGCUAAUUAGUGACCAUGUAUUGCAUAUGUGAACGUUGGUAAGGUAGUGCCCUGCCUGGGUAGGUCAGUUGGUUAGAGCAUCAUCCUGGUGAAAUUUAUCCCCCAGCUCCCACCCCACAUAUGUUUUUGGUUGCUAUAACACUUUGGGGGUGGAAAAGUAUGCAUGCACCUGAUAUCUAAUGGGUUAAGGCUGCUAAACAUCCUAGAACACCUAGGACAGCCUGCACAACAAAGAAUUACCUCUCCCCAAAUGCCAAUAGACUCAACUUGA